AUAACACUUAGCUCUUAUUAUAUUAUUAUACUUACAACUCUUCAUUCAGACUCCUUUGCUCAAACACUUUCUCUCAAUUUCUGAAUAUUUACGCUCUCAAGUAGCUGGACAGUAGGUGUAAGUGACCACCUUUUACAAUAUACUCAUUGAUGGUGCGCAUAAGCUGGGUGUACACUUCUACUGAAAUAUUGGCAUAGAACUUUAUUGCAAUAGUUCCAAGUGUUGGAGCCUCAAAAAUGUCGAGCGGAGAUGGAAGAAAAGUCUCUUGUGAAGAUAUACAAAUGGUGCAAAAUCGGAUAGAGCAGUGUCUACGGCAAUACAUGAGUCGAAAAGAAGUUGUGAACACUCUCUUCAUCCAGGACAACAUAGAGCCUAGAUUUACUGAACUCGUUUGGCAGAAACUAGAAGAAGAAAAUCAGGAGUUUUUUCAAGCAUAUUACCUGAAGCUGAUGGUGAAAGAGCAAAUAAUUGAGUUCAAUAGGUUGCUUGCAGAACAGGUGAAGAUGACGCAGCAAGUUCCAAGUGCAAUUGCUUCUCUACCUAUGUCCAAUGGGUGUAAUAUUUCCCCAUUGCAUCAAAACUCAACUUGCCAUCCUGCAGAAAAUGUUGGAACUGCUGCAAAGCCUAAUGGCAUGCAUGAGCCUAUACAUGCAGAUAGACACAAUGCAUUCAGUAAUUGCAGCUCGUCUGUUCUCUCUUGCAUGCAAACAGCAACUGAUAUUCCUGCCCAUAGCAGGAAAAUUGAUGUUCCUCCUGAUGUGUUUUUGGGCCAGCACUCUAAUAUGGGGAUGAGACAAACAUUGGAUGGGAGGAUUAUUAAGACAGAACCUGUUUAUGGUGGCAAUUCUCCGUUUGCCUUUGGUCCUCAUAGCAGUUACUUGGAGUCACGUGCUGCAAUGGGCGAUGCAUCUGUUUCGUCAUUUAGUAGUGUGGAGUCGAACACGCAGCCCCUUACUGAACCUCUUCUGGAUGCUGACACCACUUCAUUUGGAUUUUUAGGGGAAAUACCUCAAAAUUUUGGUUUCUCAGACUUGACUGCUGAUUUCACUAAUAGUUCUGAUAUACUGGAGAGCUAUGCUAGGACUCCCUUUCUAGCAACAGAUACAGACAACUUGCUUGAUUCAAAUGGAGGCAUUGAGAGAUUAACCAAUGCAUCAGAAAACUUGAGAUACAAUGGUUUCACUGGAGAUUGAUUGUGUAUAGUACAAUUGGAACUACAAUUGGAACACAUCUUGGUAGUUGUGCGUUGGAGGAUGAUUCGAUCAAACAAAUACACAACAGUAGGUUUUGUAUAUGCCGCUCAAAUUGUUUAGGAUAUUAGGAUUAUCUGGUAUUGUUGGUUGAGGUUUUCUUGGAGAAUAAUUCAAACAUGAUAGAUUUCAGUAGAGAUCUUGUACAAAGAGUUGAUUGUGACUUAGAAUAUUGUUACUUUAGCCACGCACAGCAUACUGUCUGAUUUGUAGUACAACUAUGGAACAGUGAUGAAGUUUAGUGUAUAUUGGACCAGGAAAUUGCAGCUUCUC